AGCUUGAUGGCGUAGUGGUAAUGCGCUCCGUGAUGAUAUAUAGCAUUCGUAUAUUGUUUGACGGAAAGUCCGGAGCUCGAUUCUUCGUCAAGCCA